GACGAACGCUGGCGGCGUGCUUAACACAUGCAAGUCGAACGGAAAGGCCCUGCUUUUGUGGGGUGCUCGAGUGGCGAACGGGUGAGUAACACGUGAGUAACCUGCCCUUGACUUUGGGAUAACUUCAGGAAACUGGGACUAAUACCGGAUAGGAGCUCCUGCUGCAUGGUGGGGGUUGGAAAGUUUCGGCGGUUGGGGAUGGACUCGCGGCUUAUCAGCUUGUUGGUGGGGUAGUGGCUUACCAAGGCUUUGACGGGUAGCCGGCCUGAGAGGGUGUCCGGCCACAUUGGGACUGAGAUACGGCCCAGACUCCUACGGGAGGCAGCAGUGGGGAAUAUUGCACAAUGGGCGGAAGCCUGAUGCAGCAACGCCGCGUGCGGGAUGACGGCCUUCGGGUUGUAAACCGCUUUCGCCUGUGACGAAGCGUGAGUGACGGUAAUGGGUAAAGAAGCACCGGCUAACUACGUG
rnacentral:rRNA from 1 species